CCUACGGGAGGCAGCAGUAGGGAAUAUUGCUCAAUGGGGGAAACCCUGAAGCAGCAACGCCGCGUGGAGGAUGAAGGUUUUCGGAUUGUAAACUCCUUUUGUUAGAGAGGAUGAUGACGGUAUCUAACGAAUAAGCACUGGCUAACUCCGUGCCAGCAGCCGCGGUAAUACGGCGGGCGCAAGCGUUACUCGGAAUCACUGGUCGUAAAGAGCGCGUAGGCGGGAUAGCAAGUCAGAUGUGAAAUCCUAUGGCUUAACCAUAGAACUGCAUUUGAAACUGGUAUUCUAGAGUAUGGGAGAGGUAGGUAGAAUUCUGGGUGUAGGGGUAAAAUGCGUAGAGAUCAAGAGGAAUACUCAAUGCGAAGGCGACCUGCUAGAACAUAACUGACGCUGAUGCGCGAAAGCGUGGGGAGCAAACAGGAUUAGAUACCCUUGUAGUC
rnacentral:rRNA from 1 species